GACAGAGGUCCCAAGCGUUAGGCGGAAUCACUGGGCUUAAAGCGUGUGUAGGCGGAUUUGUAAGUACCUUGUGAAAUCCCACGGCUCAACCGUGGAACUGCUUGGUAUACUGCUUAUCUUGGGUCAUCUAGGGGCGAGCGGAACAAACGGUGGAGCGGUGAAAUGCGUAGAUAUCGUUUGGAACGCCAAUGGUGAAAACAGCUCGCUGGGGAUGUACCGACGCUGAGACACGAAAGCCAGGGGAGCGAACAGG
rnacentral:rRNA from 1 species